GUGGGGAAUUUUGGACAAUGGGCGCAAGCCUGAUCCAGCAAUGCCGCGUGCAGGAAGAAGGCCUUCGGGUUGUAAACUGCUUUUGUACGGAACGAAACGGUCCUGGUUAAUACCUGGGGCUAAUGACGGUACCGUAAGAAUAAGCACCGGCUAACUACGUGCCAGCAGCCGCGGUAAUACGUAGGGUGAGAGCGUUAAUCGGAAUUACUGGGCGUAAAGCGUGCGCAGGCGGUGCUGUAAGACAGGCGUGAAAUCCCCGGGCUCAACCUGGGAAUUGCGCUUGUGACUGCAAGGCUGGAGUGCGGCAGAGGGGGAUGGAAUUCCGCGUGUAGCAGUGAAAUGCGUAGAUAUGCGGAGGAACACCGAUGGCGAAGACAAUCCCCUGGGCCUGCACUGACGCUCAUGCACGAAAGCGUGGGGAGCAAACAGGAUUAGAAACCCCGGUAGUCC
rnacentral:rRNA from 1 species